CCUUAUUGUUAGUUGCCAUCAUUCAGUUGGGCACUCUAGCGAGACUGCCGGGUCAACUCGGAGGAAGGUGGGGAUGACGUCAAAUCAUCAUGCCCCUUAUGUCUUGGGCUUCACGCAUGCUACAAUGGCCGGUACAAAGGGCUGCGAUACCGCGAGGUGGAGCGAAUCCCAAAAAGCCGGCCUCAGUUCGGAUUGGGGUCUGCAACUCGACCCCAUGAAGUCGGAGUCGCUAGUAAUCGCAGAUCAGCAACGCUGCGGUGAAUACG
rnacentral:rRNA from 1 species